rnacentral:lncRNA from 1 species
GCAGAAAUAAUUUUGAAACUGGCCGACAUGAGAGAACCAAUCAAUCAAAGUCCAUCAAUAGUUUAUCAUGAAGUCCUCAUCUCGGUCAAUCAGUUAUCACCACGUAGCUACUUCAAAAACAUGCAAAGAUGCCUGAAUCUCCCACUAUUCGAUCACAGCAAGCCCAUAACGACAGAAUAGCCUUCAUAACAAUGAAAUGCGCAUCUCAUGAUAUCUUCCAAAUGUAUGAGUCGUUAUCUCCAACAGCCACCACC